CAGCAGUGGGGAAUUUUGGACAAUGGGCGCAAGCCUGAUCCAGCCAUGCCGCGUGCAGGAUGAAGGCCUUCGGGUUGUAAACUGCUUUUGUCCGGAACGAAAAGACUCCUUCUAAUAUAGGGGGUCCAUGACGGUACCGUAAGAAUAAGCACCGGCUAACUACGUGCCAGCAGCCGCGGUAAUACGUAGGGUGCGAGCGUUAAUCGGAAUUACUGGGCGUAAAGCGUGCGCAGGCGGUUUUGUAAGUCAGAUGUGAAAUCCCCGGGCUCAACCUGGGAAUUGCAUUUGUGACUGCAUAGCUAGAGUAUGGCAGAGGGGGAUGGAAUUCCGCGUGUAGCAGUGAAAUGCGUAGAUAUGCGGAGGAACACCGAUGGCGAAGGCAAUCCCCUGGGCCUGUACUGACGCUCAUGCACGAAAGCGUGGGGAGCAAACAGGAUUAGAUACCCUGGUAGUCCACGCCCUAAACGAUGUCAACUGGUUGUUGGGUCUUCACUGACUCAGUAACGCAGCUAACGCG
rnacentral:rRNA from 1 species